AAAAAAAAAAAAAAAAAACACAGGCAAUUAAUGUAGCCAAAGCAACUGUAUCUAAUAUGAGAUGAAUGAAAGACAAAUUGCAUAUUUUUUUUACCAUUACUAGAGUUGGGCAUCUCACGGAGUUCUGAUUGAUGAUGCAACUGAAGAAAGUAGAAAACAAGAAUGCAAAAAGUUGAAUAUUCAUGAUCCCUACUCCCAAUAAAUAAAUAUAAGAAAGGUCACUCGUAACAGGCUAUUUCAGUGCAAUAUAAGCCAAUAUACGGCACCUGCAGUAACUCAAAAGAUAUCUUGUCUAAUACAACUAAAUCAUUUGCAAAUCCAGCAAGAGCAUACAGAUGAUGAUGAAGCCUAGGACUUAAUCCAUUUGUUCAAUUAGUAAGGAAAACUGAGUUGCAUAACUCAUCAUUUUGCAACAGCAUAAUUGUAUGGAGACAAGAGAAUCAGAAUACAAUGGAAGGUGGCUACUCUACUACUUAAUUCAGUUCAUUUUUCUAUUUUUUCUCACAAGGCUUGAGAGUUGAGAUCUAGCUCUAGCUCAAACAUAAUCCGAUUCCCCAGCAGUGCCAUAAAAAAUGUAGAAAUUCACCUUCAACACCCUUUUACAUUCUAAAUAUUUAGAAAAAUAAGGAAAUUAGUAAUAAGAGGCAAAUUAAUGUCUGGUUACCAUUUGGAUUAGUGACAAAUAUUUGGGUUUCAUUUAUUCAUCCUGCUUAAAAAUUUCUGGAGUGUGCAAAUGACCUACAUGGAUUGGCCUACCGCAGGUUUGUGGUCCAAAGGUUUUUAAAGUUUCAUAUCCCAGUUACUUUAGAAACUUCUGAGAGAAAAACGAAAAAGUCAGAUAAACAAUGUUCAACAAGAGUAGUCCCAACUAGUUGUCAUCUCAUGAUUUAUAAUUGCAAGUUAAAUGCACAGUGGCUUUUUAUCUGAAAAACAUAGGCAUCCUGGGUAUUUCUUGUGAAUUUUUUCUGUCUUUACAUCUUUACCUUCGAAAAGCUAAAUGCAUAUUUGGGCAUUCCGUUUAUAUUCAUUCUGUCCGUACAUCUUGAGCUAUGUUAGAAUUAUUUUUUCAAGAAAAGUUCACUUUAUUUGACAUAGUACGCUAUGUACAGAAAACAUCAAAUGGAUUUACAGAGAUAAUCGUGCAAAGCCAUGUCAUUUGACGCAUUAUCAUGUCUGAGUUCAAGUUCAGACCAAAAUACAUUUCCAAUUUGCAAUGCAAUUACAACAGUGAGAUAAAAUAGCCAAAUGAAUAUCUGCAUUUCUUUUUCUUUCCAGAGCUCCCUAAUUCCUUUCCCUUUUUUACUUUAUAUGUAUUUAUGCAGAAGACUAAGCAAAAAGAAUAAUCUAUUAUUCUUUUUUUUUUAAAUAAUAAUCUAUUAUUCAUUAUGU
rnacentral:misc_RNA from 1 species